rnacentral:pre_miRNA from 1 species
AGGACCCAGUACUCCUCUGUUGAACGCCAAAGCAGAACCUGUGUUGACUUCAACAGGAGCAAGACUGAGGCCU